rfam:Equus caballus chromosome 17, whole genome shotgun sequence.
GACUAGGUGUUAUUCAACACCACAAAAUAUUUAAUGUGCACCAGUCU